GGGGUGCGCAAUAUAGACUUACCUCCACGAGGUGCACCCUGGGCAACGUAUACUUAUACGGCAAAAACGUCUAU
rfam:Hymenolepis nana genome assembly, scaffold: HNAJ_contig0000609